rnacentral:rRNA from 1 species
CCCUAGAUGUUCUGGGCAGCACGCGCGCUACAAUGGUCUUCGCAAACGGAUGCAUUCUCGAAGGAGAAUGCCAAUCUUGGAAUCUAUGCCUUGGUCGGGACAGUUGCUUGCAAUUUUUCGACUCGAACCAGGAAUUCCUUGUAAUCGUGAUUCAUCACAUCACGAUGAAUACGUCCCUGCCCUUUGUACACACCGCCCGUCGCUCCUACCGAUCGAAGAGUUAGGUGAAUUGUUUUGAUCGAUAAGAUUUGACUAUGGUCAACUCUCGUUGUGAAAUUCUGUGAAUCUGACUGUUUAGAGGAAGGAAAAGUCGUAACA